rnacentral:rRNA from 1 species
ACGAACGCUGGCGGCGUGCUUAACACAUGCCAGUCGAACGGAAAGGCCCUGCUUUUGUGGGGUGCUCGAGUGGCGAACGGGUGAGUAACACGUGAGUAACCUGCCCUUGACUUUGGGAUAACUUCAGGAAACUGGGGCUAAUACCGGAUAGGAGCUCCUGCUGCAUGGUGGGGGUUGGAAAGUUUCGGCGGUUGGGGAUGGACUCGCGGCUUAUCAGCUUGUUGGUGGGGUAGUGGCUUACCAAGGCUUUGACGGGUAGCCGGCCUGAGAGGGUGACCGGCCACAUUGGGACUGAGAUACGGCCCAGACUCCUGCGGGAGGCAGCAGUGGGGAAUAUUGCACAAUGGGCGGAAGCCUGAUGCAGCAACGCCGCGUGCGGGAUGACGGCCUUCGGGUUGUAAACCGCUUUCGCCUGUGACGAAGCGUGAGUGACGGUAAUGGGUAAAGAAGCACCGGCUAACUACGUG